AUUGAACGCUGGCGGUAUGCUUAACACAUGCAAGUCGAACGGCAGCACGAGGAAAGUUUACUUUCUUCGGUGGCGAGUGGCGGACGGGUGAGUAAUGCAUAGGAAUCUACCUUUUAGUCUAGGAUAACUACCCGAAAGGGUGGCUAAUACUGGAUGUGGACUACGGUUUAAAGCAGGGGACCUUCGGGCCUUGCGCUAAGAGAUGAGCCUAUGUGGGAUUAGCUAGUUGGUGAGGUAAUGGCUCACCAAGGCGACGAUCUCUAGCUGGUUUGAGAGGAUGAUCAGCCACACUGGGACUGAGACACGGCCCAGACUCCUACGGGAGGCAGCAGUGGGGAAUAUUGGACAAUGGGCGAAAGCCUGAUCCAGCAAUACCGCGUGUGUGAAGAAGGCCCUAGGGUUGUAAAGCACUUUUGUUAGGGAGAACGGGUCUUACUAUUAAUACUAGUAGGAUUUGAUGUUACCUAAAGAAUAAGCACCGGCUAACUCCGUGCCAGCCGCCGCAGUAAUAC
rnacentral:rRNA from 1 species